UGAGUACGAGACGCUAAGGCGUCGAAGUAGUGUAUGUCAUACUUCCAAGAAAAGCUUGCACUGUCAUUCAUAAAAAAUGCCUGUACCAUAACCGACACAGGUGGGUAGGUAGAGUAUACUAAGGGGCGCGAGAUAACUCUCUCUAAGGAACUCGGCAAAAUAACUCCGUAACUUCGGGAGAAGGAGUGCCUUAUUUAUAUAAGGUUGCAAUAACAAGAUCCAAGCAACUGUUUACCAAAAACACAGGUCUCCGCUAAGUCGCAAGACGAUGUAUGGGGGCUGACGCCUGCCCAGUGCCAGAAGGUUAAAGAAGUUGGUUAGCAAUAGCGAAGCUAGUAACUGAAGCCCUGGUGAACGGCGGCCGUAACGAUAACGGUCCUAAGGUAGCGAAAUUCCUUGUCGGGUAAGUUCCGACCCGCACGAAAGGCGUAAUGAUUUGGAUACUGUCUCGGAGAGGGACUCGGUGAAAUAGACUUGUCUGUGAAGAUGCGGACUACCUGCACCAGGACAGAAAGACCCUAUGAAGCUUUACUGUAACUUGAAAUUGAAAUUGGACUUUAUUCGCGCAGUAUAGGUGGGAGGCAUUGAAAAUAAUCUUGCGGGAAUAUUGGAGCCAUCAGUGAGAUGCCACUCUUGUAAUGUUAGAUUUCUAACUUUGAAUCAUUAUCUGGUCAAAGAACAGUUUCAGGCGGGCAGUUUGACUGGGGCGGUCGCCUCCCAAAUGGUAACGGAGGCGUACAAAGGUUUCCUCUGAACGGGUAGAGAUCGUAUCUAGAGUGUAAAGGCAAAAGGAAGCUUGACUGUGAGACCUACAAGUCGAGCAGGGACGAAAGUCGGUCUUAGUGAUCUGACGGUACUGAGUGGAAAGGCCGUCACUCAACGGAUAAAAGUUACUCUAGGAUAACAGGCUGAUCUCCCCCAAGAGUUCACAUCGACGGGGAGGUUUGGCACCUCGAUGUCGGCUCAUCGCAUCCUGGGGCGGUAGUACGUCCCAAGGGUUGGGCUGUUCGCCCAUGAAAGCGGUACGCGAGCUGGGUUCAGAACGUCGUGAGACAGUUCGGUCCAUAUCCGGCGUAGGCGUUAGAAUAUUGAGAGGAGCCUUCUUUAGUACGAGAGGACCGAGAAGGACAUACCUCUGGUGUACCAGUUAUCGUGCCAACGGUAAACGCUGGGUAGCUAUGUAUGGAGUGGAUAACCGCUGAAAGCAUCUAAGUGGGAAGCCCACCUCAAGAUGAGUA
rnacentral:rRNA from 1 species